rnacentral:rRNA from 1 species
AGAGAGAGACAUGCGCGCAUAUCAAUAAGCGGAGGAAAAGAAACUAACAAGGAUUCCCUUAGUAACGGCGAGUGAAGCGGGAAAGAGCUCAAAUUUGAAAUCUUCAAGGUUUUACCUUGGACGAAUUGUAGUUUAAAGAAGUGUUUUCUGCUGAAGUUUUGGUAAAAGUUCUUUGGAAUAGGACAUCAUAGAGGGUGAGAAUCCCGUAUUUGACCAUUAUUUUCAGCUUUGUGAUACACUUUCAAAGAGUCGGAUUGUUUGGGAAUGCAGUCCAAAAUGGGUGGUAAAUUUCAUCUAAAGCUAAAUAUUGGCGAGAGACCGAUAGCGAACAAGUACCGUGAGGGAAAGAUGAAAAGAACUUUGAAAAGAGAGUUAAACAGUACGUGAAAUUGUCAAAAGGGAAGCGUUUGACACCAGUGUUGUUUUCUCGAAAAUCAAUUAAAAAUGGCUCGAUUUUGUAUUGUUGAGACCUUAAAAGCUCACUGUACAUUUUUCGUGUCUUUUUUAAUGCACUUUUCGUUUAACAAGUCAACAUCAGUUUCUUUUGUUGUAAAAGGGUCAUUGGAAGGUGGCUUUCUUUUCGGAGAAAGUGUUUAUAGCCUUUGGCCUCUGCAAUCGGAGAGACUGAGGUCUGCAGCGUAGACUCUUCGGGGUUAGAUACAUUUGUGCUAAGUUAUAGCUUUUUAUAGACAACUUGUUGACUAUAAUUAGUCUUGUAGCUUACUCGCUUAUGCUAUUUUACCUACGCUUAGGAUGUUGAAGUCAUCGUAUCGCGC